UACGUAGGGUGCAAGCGUUGUCCGGAAUUAUUGGGCGUAAAGAGCUCGUAGGCGGUCUGUCGCGUCGGUUGUGAAAACUCGGGGCUCAACCCCCGAGCCUGCAAUCGAUACGGGCAGACUAGAGUGCUGUAGGGGAGACUGGAAUUCCUGGUGUAGCGGUGAAAUGCGCAGAUAUCAGGAGGAACACCGGUGGCGAAGGCGGGUCUCUGGGCAGUAACUGACGCUGAGGAGCGAAAGCGUGGGGAGCAAACAGG
rnacentral:rRNA from 1 species